CAUUUCUAUUGGCUUCUCUUGGACCAGCACUGAUGCUUCAUAUGUUCUAUGCAAACUCCAUGAGCGUCCAGCUUUAAAAACAUCAGACUGUCAGCAAAGUUCACAGCACAUCAGUUUCACCUCCAACCAUGUUGUCUGUAGCUCUACUGCUGCUCUUUGCAGCUGCAUCCUGUGUGAAGUGUGAACAGUUGACUCAGCCACAAUCUGUGACUGUGCAGCCAGGUCAACGUCUCUCCAUCACCUGUCAGGUCUCUUAUUCUGUGAGCAGCUACUGGACAGCUUGGAUCAGACAACCUGCAGGGAAAGGACUGGAAUGGAUUGGAAUGAGAACUACUGGAUACGGGAACUCAUACUACAAAGAUUCACUGAAGAACAAGUUCAGCAUCGAAUUGGACACUUCCACCAACAGAGUGACUCUGAAUGGACAGAAUAUGCAGCCUGAAGACUCUGCUGUGUAUUACUGUGCCAGAGACACACAGUGACACAAAUGAUCAGCAGACCUGAACAAAAACCCCUCAGUGUCUGAACACUUGUAACAUGAAGCCACCAGAGGAGGAGCCCUCAGACCAGGAAUG